rnacentral:rRNA from 1 species
CAAUAGCGUAUAUUAAAGUUGUUGCAGUUAAAAAGCUCGUAGUUGGAUUUCUGGCUGGAGCGAUCGGUCCGCCCCGCAAGGGGUGUGUACUAGCGUCGUCUCCGACCAUCCUUGUGGGAACUGUGCGGCCGUUAACUCGGUUGUAUAUGGGAACACAUCGUUUACUGUGAAAAAAUUAGAGUGUUCAAAGCAGGCCUAUGCUCUGAAUAGGUUAGCAUGGAAUAAUAGAAUAGGACUUCGGUACUAUUUUGUUGGUUUCUAGGACCGAAGUAAUGAUUAAUAGGGACAGUUGGGGGCAUUCAUAUUCCAUUGUCAGAGGUGAAAUUCUUGGAUUAACGGAAGAUGAACUACUGCGAAAGCAUCUGCCAAGGAUGUUUUCAUUGAUCAAGAACGAAAGUUAGGGAUCGAAGACGAUCAGAUACCAU